rnacentral:rRNA from 1 species
UUAACUGGCGGCGAUUGCGUACCCGACGACCAAAAUUAGGGUCAACGCUACCUGUAGGAAGUGUCCGCAUAAAGUGCACCGCAUGGAAAUGAAGACGGCCAUUAGCUGUACCAUACUCAGGCACACAAAAAUACUGAUAGCAGUCGGCGUGUGAAUCAUUAGCCUUGCGACCCUCGGCAGCAAGAACCAUACGACCAAUAUCACGAAAAUAGUCACGCAAAGCAUUGGGAUUAUCAUAAAACGCCUCUAAUCGGUCGUCAGCCAACGUGAGAGUGUCAAAAACGAUAAACCAACCAUCAGCAUGAGCCUGUCGCAUUGCAUUCAUCAAACGCUGAAUAGCAAAGCCUCUACGCGAUUUCAUAGUGGAGGCCUCCAGCAAUCUUGAACACUCAUCC